UAGUAUACAGUCUGAGAGAGAGAAAAGGUGGAUGUAGUGAGUGUAGAUGAAAGAACAUGCCACAGUGUUAGAGAGACCAAAGUCAGCAUUACCUAAACUAAUUUCAUUUCAGCAAGUCCACACAAGUUUUGUUUCCAUAUAUCCCUGUUAAGUUUCCAUACUUAAGCAAUAGUAUGUGAAGAGUAGUUAGGGUUGCCACCUUUCUUGGAAAAAA